rnacentral:rRNA from 1 species
AGUAGGUAGCUUAACCUUCGGGAGGGCGCUUACCACUUUGUGAUUCAUGACUGGGGUGAAGUCGUAACAAGGUAACCGUAGGGGAACCUGCGGUUGGAUCACCUCCUUACCAAAAAGAUGUGUGUUGCGUGAAGUGCUCACACAGAUUGUCUGAUGAA